CCAUUCUCGGCAGACUGUUGAUAUUUCAGAAAAUGUCAACACCACUCUGAAGGGAUGCGUAGUUUUUGUGAAGGGCCCCAGAGGAAACCUGCAGAGAGACUUCAGUCACAUCAAUGUAGAACUUAGUCUCCUUGGAAAGGAAAAGAAGAGGCUCAAGGUUGACAAAAGGGGGGAAAUAGAAAGUGGCUACCGUUUGUGCUAUUCAUAGUAGCAUACAGAACAUGAUCAAAGGUGUUACACUGGACUUCCAUUACAAUAUGAGGUCUGUGUAUGCUCACUUCCCCAUCAAUGUCAUUAUCCCUGAGAAUAGGUCUCUUUUUGAAAUCAGACAUUUCUUGCAGUAUAUCUCAAGCCCAGAAAGAUGACUUAAUCCUGGAAGGAAAUGACAUUGAACUUGUUUCAAAUUCAGCUGCUUUGAUUCAGCAAGCCACAACAGCUAAAAACAAGAGUAUCAGAAAAAUUUUGGAUGGCAUCUAUGUCUCUGAAAAAGGGACAGUUCAGCAAGCUGAGUAA
rnacentral:lncRNA from 1 species